AUGAAUGAUGUUCAUGAGAAACAUGAACCAAAAGAAAAUCCUGGAGAUAUAAAUGAAAUAAACAGUCAAGAGAAACCCAAGAAAAAGAAAAGUGAUAAUAAUUCCAGACUACUCUUUAAUAAUGGAGCAAAAACAAUUGAUCGUCUGCAAAGAGUUGUGCAAAGUAACUUGGAUGGUCAGGAAGAAAAAAAUAAAGCUCUCCGAGGAAGAAUUUAUCAUCCAUCAACACAAGAAAAUUUAGGAGAACAAGAGACAAGCGUUUCUGUAUUGCCUGCUGAAUCAUCUCAUCAGAAUGAAUCUUUAACCACAUUAUUAGUAGAACUGAAUGAAUGUAUCACCAGUGCAUCCACAGCCAAAUUCGUCACAAAAUUCACAACUACCAGUGAUAGGAGGAGCAAAGGAAUGUCUAUGACACUACCUGACUCAAAAACAAAAGAAACUACUGACCCUUGUUCAGAGGGUGAUGUUGCCAGAGUGACAAGACCAGAAGUUACAACUUGUUUUGAAAAUGACCCAAGAACGUUGGACGUCUUGAGAUUAAAAAUUGAAAGUCCAGGUUCUGAAGUUGAGGAAGUAAACUCACAGAAAAACAAAAACACCUUAACAUUAAACGGCGUCCCAUCCACUACACUACAUCCAUCAGAUCCCUGUGCUGCAACAGAGCCAAGGUCAUUUGAAACUAAAGAUGAAUCACUUGCAGAACAAUCUGUAAGACAUCUGAGUUGUACUGAUAAGAUGAAACUAGGAGAAAUGCUGAAACGGUCAGGUAAUAAAGACAAAAAUCGGAAAUGGCUGAAGCACGAUGCAGAGACAGGAAAAAAUACUUUUAAAAAACCGUACCAAAUGUAUCUCAAUAUGCUUAACUUGCUCACAAAAAAGUCUGCGAGAUCCAGUGCCAAAAAAUUGAAUGACAUACGAAUGCAGGAGCAAUCAUCUGAUCAAGUGAGCCCAAAAAUUGCCUUGCAAGAGGAAGCAACAUUAGAAAAUAAUACUGCUGAGGACUAUGCUACAGAUUCACCUAAAGUCCACAAGAGCCAGUCUAGCAGGCCAAUCAUGCUGCUUUCUGAUUUAGGAAAUUCUAAGUCCAAUAAUGAGAUUUCUCCUUCUGAUGAAAAAAUCAGUAUCGAUUUGAUGCUAACAAAGAAAGCAAAUGAAAGGUCAUUGAUUCUGCCUACUGACAGAACAAAUUUUGAGGAUCGAAUGUUAAUAUCCUCUCAGUUCAAACCUAGAAAAGCUUCCCAUCUUCAAUUCUUCAGGCAGCGUCUCUUAAAAGAGGAUGAGAGGGAAAAGUCGAAAAAGAGAAAGAGUAAAAAAUCGAAAAAUGAAAAAGAACCAUCAGUUUAUGAAGACUUGGUUGAAGAGAGAACUUUAGAAUCUAAAACAGAUGAUACAAAUACGGGUGAUCUUCGGAUGACAACCGUUGGAAAACCACGGAGUGACAUUAAAGCCCUUUUACAUGUUUUACGUAGAUCAAAAGUAAAUAAGUCUCCUAAAUACUGUCCAAAUGAUUCAAUUACAUACUUAUCAAAAUCUACCAUAAGUGAUGGUGAUGGAGAUAGCUACGAUAUGAAACAAACAUUCCAUGGAGAAAAAGAGGACAGGUUUGAAGACGUAAAGACCGAGACCGAAGGAGAAGAACUGGCUGAGCACUAUCCACUAAAGCAGCUAAAAAAGGAAGCUAUGAGUGGAAAAAAUCUUGAGGACGAAACUGAGUUUAGAACUGAGCCUAAGAAAUUCUUCAGUGAGCAAGGCUUCAACAGUGUAAAUAGAGCUCAUAUCAGACGAAGAGAAAAAAAUAUCAAAUAUGGGUUCAAUGCUGAUAGCAGCCACCCUAGACGUAACCAUCAGACCCAAUUUAGGAUCUUCAAACAGCUUGUGCCUCGUUUUGUUUUCAAAGAUCCUUGCACGAAGAGCUUGGAUGAACAAAUGAAUCAUCACAAUGGAUUUUGGCACAAAACAGUGGACCUAGGGUUGAAUGAUGAUGCAAAUUAUUCAAAGGAAUCUGUAAAAAUGCUUGGGAAAAAACAUAAGAAAGUUUUAUUAGUUCAGAAAAAGAGUCACUCCCACAAAUUUCCUGACAAGGAAGGGAGACGCACAAAAGAAAGCAUUGAUCCUGUUUCAGCUUUGGUACAGCUGAUGAGAAGAGAGCAGGAAAGUGAACACAACAUGCUGCACAACAGAAAGGUUGAGGAUGAAGUUUAG
rnacentral:lncRNA from 1 species